rnacentral:rRNA from 1 species
UACGGAGGAUGCAAGCGUUAUCCGGAAUUAUUGGGCGUAAAGCGUCCGUAGGUGGUUGAGUAAGUCAGUUGUUAAAGCGUGGAGCUUAACUCCAUAACGGCAGUUGAAACUACUCGGCUAGAGUGCGAUAGGGGCAAGGGGAAUUCCCAGUGUAGCGGUGAAAUGCGUAGAUAUUGGGAAGAACACCGGUGGCGAAAGCGCCUUGCUGGGUCUGCACUGACACUGAGGGACGAAAGCUAGGGGAGCGAAAGGG